UCCUGUUUAGCUCAGUUGGUAGAGUGCUCCAUUGGAAAGGGAGAGGUCCCUAGUUCAAUACCAGGACCAGGUA
rnacentral:tRNA from 2 species